UGGGCCGAGGUUUUGGCUAGCCCCCCAUUGUCAGACGCCCCGAGCGCGUUCCCGAAGUCGGAAUCGGCAAAGGUAAACCCGAACCUUGUUUUUACGUAAUUUUCUAGUGCUUAAAUAGGAUUAAAAAUCCAUAAAAUAUUCGUGGUAGCUUAGAAAAUUACGAUUCUUUUUGCAAUAGCUUAGUAAUAUUGCUAAGGACCGCGGGGCAAAGUUUUAUAAUUUUUAGAGCUUGUUUGGGCAGUUUUUGCAAAAAUGAUCAAUAAUAAGGACUAAAUUGAAAUUUUGCGUAUUGUGAUUGAUGACUGAUUUGAUGGGCCCAGGAGGGGCUGUGUGAUAUGAUUGAACUGUUGAUAUAUGGAUUGUGAGUAUAGAAGUGUGUUUUGAACCCUUUUGCAGGUUGGGUAGGUCCUAGGUAUAGGGGAGACUCUGCCGGAUUUUCGGCACGACUUAGGACGUAAUUGGUCUUUUUCCUUGUUGUAUUGAGUCAGAUUGUAUUAAAUAAAUGUAAUAUGAUUGUCAGGUGAGCCGGGACAGCCUUCUUCCUCCGCCCAGCCGCCACAGUAAAUUGUCGUCAAGUUUGCCACAGGAGGAUAUUUUGUUCUGGGUUAACCUGCUUUUCUACCUCGCAGGUUGUUUAUCAAUAUUGUGUAAUUUUAAUUACUCCUAGAAUUUCCGCAUGUGUUAGCAGUAUUUAUUUGAAUUUGGUCUGUAAUAUUUUUAUCAUGUUGGACCUGUAAACUUAAAUAUGUUAUGCAUGUUGAUGGAUUGGAUGAGGGAGCUGAGCUCCCAUUUAUUUUAUGUUGAUGAGUAUGUGGAGGGUGAGCUGAGCUCCCCAAUUGAGUA